UGUGUGUGGACGUUGUUGUUUUGGACAUUAUGUAAGCUGACAAAGUUUACCUUUGACUCACUGUCUUGGCUUCUUGAAGGACAAUCAAGAAGUUAAAAGAAGCUUUGCACUGCUGUGUUCUUUGUCAGUCAGGGCAAAAGUGAGGGCUCCAUUUUCGCCACCCGUGCAAAUGCUGGCGGAUUCCGAUUUUCGUGUGAGUCCGAUGAAUCGGUUCACCGACUUGAGGGGGCGGACUCACGGAGAAACACGGCACUCGGAUGAUUUGGUUGAGUUCGCUCGCCGCCUCACGUUAGUGGACUCACUGGUUGGUUCAUGACAACAGACUGAGAUGAUUCAUCUGCAUCAGUUGACUAACUCGAGUUAGUCGGCUCACGAGAAGGACUGCAGAUUCAGAUGAAUGAUGGAAUCACUCCAUUGACUCUCGUGAGAAGAAUUACGAAAAACACACUCGGGGCUCAGAUGAUUCAGUUGAAUCGGAUCGCUGACUCCAGACGCGGACUCUCGAGAAACGCAGCAGAUUCGGGUGAUUCAAUUGAACCAAGCCACUGAACUUCAGCGAACGGCUUUGUUGGAAACGCAGCGGGCGGUGAUGAUUCGGUUGAAUCUGGUGACCACAGACUCAGAUGAUUAUGUGGGCAGUGGAAAAAAAAACAAACAAUUGGGACGAGACUCAAAGGAAGCACGCAGCGGAGUCAGAAGAUCCCGUUUGAGUACACGGAUUCAAGUUAGCAAACUCAACUCGAUUAGCCGUCCUUGGACCACAAGAGAUGCGGCCUUCUCUCCGGGCGCUGGCCAAAGAACAGGAACCCUCCAGCAUUGUGCGCGACCACUCAGCCGGCCCCCGUCGGACAAACAGGAAGUGACGGCGGCGCGGGGGAAAAACAGGCUAAAAUUAGGAGCUCCGGGAGAUGUGGAGAGCCCGGCGCAAGGGGGACAACAACAAGGCCGUUCCGGAAAUACCUUCAUGCCGAAGCCAGGUUGACCUCCGUGACAUGACAUUUAGCGUCAAGCCAUAAACGGCCCAAAAGCUGAUUUGAAAUCACGCGUGAUGUCAGAAAAUCCCGGCAGACUUCAGGUCAGUGAGCGCCGUGAGGACAAAGGGCACCGGUGUGCUCAGCAAUCAGCAAGAUCGAUAGAUAAAUAAUGAUGACAAAAAAAUUCUGGCAUGUUUGGUUUUUCCAUAUAAUAUUCCUUCAUUUCCUCGGUUACAUUCUUAUAUUUGUUGUCUACAAUUUAUAUUUCGAUGUUUUUAAAAUGUAUUUUUCUCCUAAUAUUUUUGGCUACAUUUUUGUAAUUUACCAAUUAUUUUGCAUUAGCUUUUUCCAGCUAAAGUAGUACCAUUCCAUUUUUUGUCUAAUAUUUUGUAGUAUUUUUUUUUUAUGUGCCUAAGACAGCUAGCAGUGAUGAUAACCACAGAAAAGGAAAUGCAAUUGUCUCAGAACAAUAUGAUCAAACAAUGAAAUACCAAUGACAUCGUUAGCGAGCAGAUGGUAAACCGUCAGCUGAGAGUAAGGAGGACGACAUCGUCUUCUUUUGCGGCCUCCACCUGAAGAGACACACGGGGAAAAAAAAUGAAGGAAUGAUGAUCAAUCGAUCCAUCGCCACCAAGUCUCUCAGCCAGUUGACAGUUCACGAUGAGUCAGGGUUUAACUAGCACGCCACCUGGUGACCUCCAAUGCGGAAACUUGAAUGGCAACUGGAGUGAAGUAAAGGCUGGGUACGCUCACCUUGCGGGGGGCUGCCAUCCAUCACCUGCCUGCAUGGGAGCCCCCGCGACACCUCACUCAGCCCCUCCUCGCUCACUUGCCUUCCAAAACCGCCCCUCACGUCACCCCACCCCACCAAAAAAAAA